rnacentral:rRNA from 1 species
GGUACCGGGAGAAUAANCCACGGCUAACUCUGUGCCAGCAGCCGCGGUAAGACAGAGGUGGCAAGCGUUGUUCGGAGUUACUGGGCGUAAAGAGUCUGUAGGUGGUCUGUCAAGUCUUUGGUGAAAGGCCGUGGCUUAACCAUGGGAAUGCCAAAGAGACUGGCAGACUGGAGGCUGGGAGAGGGAAGCGGAAUUUCUGGUGUAGCGGUGAAAUGCGUAGAUAUCANAAGGAAGGCCGGUGGCGAAGGCGGCUUCCUGGAACAGACCUGACACUGAGAGACGAAAGCGUGGGGAGCAAACAGGAUUAGAU